rnacentral:rRNA from 1 species
AACGAACGCUGGCGGCAUGCCUAACACAUGCAAGUCGAACGAGACCUUCGGGUCUAGUGGCGCACGGGUGCGUAACGCGUGGGAAUCUGCCCUUGGGUUCGGAAUAACAGUUGGAAACGACUGCUAAUACCGGAUGAUGACGUAAGUCCAAAGAUUUAUCGCCCAAGGAUGAGCCCGCGUAGGAUUAGCUAGUUGGUGAGGUAAAGGCUCACCAAGGCGACGAUCCUUAGCUGGUCUGAGAGGAUGAUCAGCCACACUGGGACUGAGACACGGCCCAGACUCCUACGGGAGGCAGCAGUGGGGAAUAUUGGACAAUGGGCGAAAGCCUGAUCCAGCAAUGCCGCGUGAGUGAUGAGGGCCUUAGGGUUGUAAAGCUCUUUUACCCGGGAUGAUAAUGACAGUACCGGGAGAAUAAGCUCCGGCUAACUCCGUG